rnacentral:misc_RNA from 1 species
AACGCACAUUGCGCCGGCUAGCACUCUAGCAGGCAUGCCUAUUCGAGCGUCACCUACAAUCGCCAAGCGCUUGCUUGUGUUGGAGCGCUGCGGAUGCAUUCCGCACGCUCUGAAAACCAGUAGCAGCACCGCUGCUGCGCCCAGUGUAGUUACUGUCCCAAACGCUGUGGUGCGUAGCGGUUGCUCGCUCCGGAUACGGUGGUGGCAUACAUGCAUGACCUCGAAUUAGGUAGGAAUACCCGCUGAACUUAA